rnacentral:tRNA from 1 species
GCCUGGGUGGCUCAGUUGGUUAAGCGCCUGACUUCAGUUCAGGUCCUCACGGUUCGUGAGUUCGAGUCCUACAUCGGGCU